GUACUGGGGUUCAGCUGCAAGUAACACUCAACUUCAGCCAUCAGGAAGCCCACUGAAGAAGAGGAGACCGAGAUGAACAAGCAGUGAGCUUCAGGCAACUCCAUCUCCCCCUAAAGCACACAGGGACUUACAUCACAUCAAAACCCCGGCCAGGCCUCCUUGACUCCACCAGUUGCUGGCACAGCUGGCUGCGGGCAGAGGGGCGAUUAGCAUGCUAUAUACACCUGUCCGCGCUGCUCCGCAGAUCCAGGGGCCAGAGAAUUAACAACCAGGAGGAUUUUUUUGGAGUUCCCGGAACCCAGCCCCGCUCACAUCAGAGACCUCAUUCCCCUUUAGGGAUUCAUUCGCUCUGCACAGCUGGUUAAUUUUUCAUCAAGGAUGAAAUAGGAACAGAUUGUGGUUGCCAGGCAAGACCCAGCCCUCACAGGGCUGGUGCUGCUGCUGCGGGCUGAUUAACGGUUAUUGGGCAAAGGAUGAAGCAUCCAGACGGCACAGGCCUCCGGUGAAGGUGCUUACACAUUUAAUGAGCACCGGGUGGCAUGCUGGUGGUAAGCAGCAAUUUUUUAAAGUGAUUUAAGGUCCUAGUCUUCCGACCCACACCUUCAUCUCCUCCGCCAUUAGGACCUGGUUGGGUGAACUCCGUGCUCUGGCCAGGGUGACCCUUGUUCCAUUCCUCUGUGAGCACCCCCUCCUCUCACGGAGCCUCUGACUACAGCACCAGGGGCAAAUGCUUCUGCUCGAAUCUGACCCAGAACCCACAGCUUGGAGCUGAGAACUGGGCCUCAGUUUGCUUAUCCAGAAAAUGGGAAAGAAAAGAAUAAGAAAAUGGCCUUAGAACUUCCUUGGUUGAGUGGUAAAGACUCCGCCCGCCAUGCAGGAGACAUGGGUUCCAUCCCUGAUCCAGGAAGAUCCCACAUGCCUUGGGGCAACUAAGUCCGAGCGCCACAACUACUGAGCCUGUGCUCUAGAGCCUGGGAGCCACAACCACUGAAGCCCUUGCACCAUAGAGCCUGCGCUCCACAAGAGAAGACACGGCAAUGAGAAGCCCAAGCACCGAGAGAGUAGACCCCGCUCGUUGCAACUAGAGAAAGCCCAUGAGCCUCAGCAAAGAUUCAGCACAACCAAAAAUAAAUAAAUUAAUUAAAAAUAAAUAAAUAAAUAAUUUUAAAAAGAGAAAGUGAAGUAGCUCAGUCGUGUCCGACUCUGUGCGACCCCAUAGACUGAAAGAGAAAAUGGCCUUAUAAAUAAAUCAGGGUGGAAGUGGCAAAGGGCCUUCAUGCUGAUUAUCUCAUUGAAUUAUCAUUCAAAGCAUUUACUGGCUGCCUACCAGGUAUCCCCUGGCUUCCCUGGUGGCUCAGAUAGUAAAGAAUCUGCCUGCAAUGCAGAAGACCUGGGUUUGAUCCAUGGGUUGGGAAGAUAACCUGAGAAGGGAAUGGCUACCCACUCCAGUAUUCUCACCUGGAGAAUUCCACGGAC
ensembl:lncRNA